GAUGAACGCUGGCGGCGUGCCUAAUACAUGCAAGUCGAGCGAACGGACGAGAAGCUUGCUUCUCUGAUGUUAGCGGCGGACGGGUGAGUAACACGUGGAUAACCUACCUAUAAGACUGGGAUAACUUCGGGAAACCGGAGCUAAUACCGGAUAAUAUUUUGAACCGCAUGGUUCAAAAGUAAAAGACGGUCUUGCUGUCACUUAUAGAUGGAUCCGCGCUGCAUUAGCUAGUUGGUAAGGUAACGGCUUACCAAGGCAACGAUGCAUAGCAGACCUGAGAGGGUGAUAGGCCACACUGGAACUGAGACACGGUCCAGACUACUACGAGAGGCAGCAGUAGGGAAUCUUCCGCAAUGGGCGAAAGACUGACGGAGCAACGCGGCGUGAGUGAUGAAAGUAUUCGGAUCGUAAAACUCUGUUAUUAGGGAAGAACAUAUGUGUAAGUAACUGUGCACAUCUUGACGGUACCUAAUCAGAAAGCCACGGCUAACUACGUG
rnacentral:rRNA from 1 species